GGUGAGUACGUGAGGACAGAGAAGCCCCAGACACCGCAGAUGGGAGUGUAAACUGGGACAGCAACUAUGGGAACCAGCAUGGAGGUUUCCUUAAAAAAACUCGGAACGGAGCUUGUGGAGAUGGCUCCGUGGAAAGAACAGUUGCUGAGUGACCACGGGGACCCAAGUUCAGAUCCUCAGCACCCAAGAGAAAAAUCCAGCAUGAUUACGCACGCCUGUAGCCCCACACUGGGUCGUUAUGGCGACAGGAUUGCUGGGGCUUACUGGGCGACCAGCUUUGCCGAAAAGUCUCCAGGUGAAGAUCCAGGUUCAGUAAGAGACGCCACCUCAGGAGGACAAGACAGAAAGUGGUGGAAAGGAACACCUGAUGUCCUCCUCUAGAUUCUGCAUGUGCCUGCAAAAGCAAGGGCGCACGCACCCACCCAGAGGACCUAUAUGGCUCACCCCAUGGUAACUCCAGUUCCAGGGGAUACGACGUCUUUCUCUGGCCUCCACAGCAAUGCACACAGAUGAUGCGCAGACAUAGAAUGCAGGUGUUCCCGCAAUGUUCCACAUCAUCGCACCCUAAAAGCAACAGGAGUCUCCGGUGCUGUGAGCUCACCUGCCCUUUUCUCUAUACGCCGAUGGGUUUAGGUACUCUAUGAGAGUGGUAGAAAGCUGACUGAUCCAACGGCUAACUGCAACCAACCCCGGAGCAGCCAUUGGCUCACCAGCGGAUCACUGCACGAGCCUUGUGGUAGGUCUGCCUGCAGUUGGUCUCAUACCGUGGAAGUCAGGAAGCAAGAACGGGAAAGGCUAGAAAGGAAAAACGACCCAAAAGGAGUGGGGAGGAGGAUGAGUACGAACCCAGCUGAUGCAGAUAUCGACAUAACCAUUAUGAGGGUAAAUAAAACUGCGGUUUACGCUAUGCAGCGAGAUGCUCUCCGAAUACUUCCGUCUCAAGGAAGUUUUUAUUUCACCAUAGAAGAAAAAUGUUUUCAUAUUCUCUCCCGCCGCUUAGACCCAGAACCCAGCAAGGCCCUGUGCCCCCGAGAGCCAUAAUAUUAUUUGUUAACAUUUUUAUGAUGCCAAAUGGUCUGGAGGAGAACCGGCGCCAUUCUUUAGCUGGGAAACCAUAUGGCACGGAGAGUAAUAAAUAAGGUAUUGUGAUAGUUAAUGAACCUAAUUGCCAGCAAAGGCUUUAACACAGAGCCUGUGCUGCUGAGAAUUUAGCACCGCAUUAGGGAUGCCGCCGAGCUCCCCUGACUUCUGAGGCUUAAUUUAAGUUCUAUAUUGCAAACUCCAGAAAAUAAUUCCAAACCCUCCUGCUGGAAAAGCAACCUGCUGGUAGACUGUGAUUAUGCCGAAUUACUAAAAUCGCAAUCAAUUUUAUACACACAGUUAACCCUUGCUAGGGAUGCUCCUGGAGUGGUGAGGCAUCAGGACCACAGCCUGUUCUAUUCGUGGCUCUGGUCCAAGGAGCAGAGUCAGGAAAGGUGCGGCACGUGACUGGGGUCGGGUCGGUUUAUUAAGCUAAGAAGGGAAGGAGGGGAGCGGGCGAGAGGAAAUUCGAACAUCAUCCUAGCCUUCUGGACCUCUCUAAUCCUGCGCUAUGGGGAGAGGAGACAAGUAGAGCUCUUGGCAAAAGGGUCUGUGCUCUCUCACCAGUCCUAGGCAGCCAGAACCCCCCUCGCAGGGGAAGAACAGAGCCAUCGCUGCUUUUAUUCCAUAAGUCAAGGUUAUUAACUAGAGAGGAUCGCGUUGUAACCUUGCUUUGUCUAAGAUCUAAAUGCUGCGCAGAUGCCGCUGAACUUUCCAGGCAUCUCCAAGGGUCCCUGGGAGAGCAGAGCUCACUGCUGCCAGAGAGGGAGGAACUGGGGCAAAUGUCUUUUUCCCUGGCUCAGUUUUCCAACCCUGGAUAAGUGCAAGAAGUGGUCAGCAGCAGGGAAGGGCUCCCGGGAUCAGACAGAGCUGGGUGUGGCUCCGAGAGGAGAGAAAGCUUCAGGGCCGUGGCUCUCCCGAACAGUUCUGAUUUCCGUGUGUCUCUCCUGUACAAGGAAGGUGUUGCGUGGUGAUGCCUCAGCCUUCUGCCUUAGAGAGAUUAGAAAUGGUUUUCCUCCUCUUCUUCCUCUUUUUGUUCCUUCUCUCCUUGGCACCAGGGAUUAAAUCUAACAGCCCCGUGUU